GCGGAGCUCCGUGAAGUUGCGCGGGGGCCCGGGGAAGUUUUUGCGGCGGCGGAACGGCGGAGCGGCGGCAGCGGCGGCGGCUCCCGCUGCCCUCCCGGAGCGGCCAUGGCCUUCCGCCGGCGGGCCAAGAGCCACCCGCUCUUCAGCCAGGAGUUCCUCAUCCACAACCACGCCGACAUCGGCUUCUGCCUGGUGCUCGGCGUCCUCAUCGCCCUCAUGUUCGAGGUUACAGCCAAGACUGCCUUCCUGUUUAUCUUACCUCAGUAUAACGUCAGCGUCCCUACAGCAGACGGGGAGCUGGUCCAGUAUCACUACGGGCUGAAAGAUCUGGUCACCAUCCUCUUCUACAUCUUCAUCGCCAUCAUCCUGCAUGCAGUGGUGCAGGAGUAUGCCCUGGACAAAAUCAACAGGCGUCUCCAUCUCUCCAAGGUCAAACACAGCAAGUUCAAUGAAUCGGGACAGCUGGUUGCCUUCCACCUCACCUCCAUGGUUUGGUGCUUGUACGUCGUGGUGACGGAAGGAUACAUAUCAAACCCUCGGAGUUUGUGGGAAAACUACCCGCAUGUUUAUCUUCCGUUCCAGGUGAAGUUUUUCUACCUGUGCCAGCUGGCAUACUGGCUGCACGCCCUGCCGGAGCUCUACUUCCAAAAAGUUCGCAAGGAGGAGAUUCCCCGCCAGCUGCGGUGCAUCGCGCUCUACCUGGUACACAUCGCCGGCGCCUACCUCCUCAACUUAACCCGCUUGGGGCUGAUCCUCUUGCUGUUGCAGUACUUAGCCGAAUUCUUCUUCCACAUGGCCCGGCUGGUCUACUUCACGGAUGAGAACAACGAGAAGCUGUUUAAUGUCUGGGCCGUCGUGUUCGUGGUCACCAGGCUGUUCACCCUCACCUUGUACAUCCUGGUCAUUGGCUUCGGGCUGCCACGGGUGGAGAACCAGGCCCUCGACCCCGAGAGAGGGAACUUCCUCAGCUUUCUCUUCAACAAUAUCCUCUUCAGAAUGAGUGUGCUGCUGUUGGUGUGCCUCUUCCAGGCCUCGGUGAUGUGGCGCUUCAUCCACUUCCAGCUGCGGCGCUGGCGGGAGUACUGGAACGAGCAGAGCAGUCGGAAGCGAGCUGCUACCGGCACUAAGCAGCAAGCCAAGCCGCUCAAGAGGGACUCGGGUUACCAUGAAAACGGAGUGGUGAAAGCGGAGAACGGCACCUCGCCGCGAACCAAGAAACUGAAAUCGCCGUAGAAGCCAAGGCUUGUCUCCUGGGGAGGAGGGCGAGAUACCGGGACUAAGAAGCGGCCCCUCCUCCCGGUCCACACGAGCGUCGUCUUGAACGGCUUGGAAACCGGUCAUCUUCCCAAGCAUGUUCCUCCCCUCUCUCCGUGGUGCUUCCCUGAGCCCCGGGGUCAGGGCUAUGGCAGCUUGAAGGCACCACGUGUCUGUUAUGGGAACAGGCUCCUGGGGGAAUGCGCUGGGGCUCUCUGACCCUGAGGCUCAGGGGUGCUCUUGGGCGAGGGUUGUCUCUCCUGGGGCACAGUCUGGCCAGUGCUUGGCAAGUGCCGCAGGAUGGUGAUGCUGCAAAUAGAGACCAGGGUCUGAGGGAGGAACCUCAACCGCGUCUUGUCUCAUGGUGGACCUCUGGUUAAGUGGGGUUUUUCUGACCCUUGGUUUUGAGCUAAUUUUGGAGAGCUGGGCAGCAGAGAAGGGAGAGAAUUUCCCUUUUCAUAUAGGACCCAUGUCCUAGCUUCUGCUUGCCCCAGCUCUUCUGGUACAACUGGGUCCCUCUUGGCUGCGGGAGGUGGGCUGCCCCGUAGUUGUUCUGGACCUCCCAGCCCCAAGAGCUGGGCUCAGGGCUCUGCAGCUCGCAGUGCCUUGUCGUGGGGCAGCAGGAUCCUCAGGUCCACGUGAAACCUUGAGUCCCACCCCGCCCUGAGCGCUGGCCUGUCGCCUGUCUGCCCAGGCCCUUUGCCAGCUUUCUUGUGCCUCGUGGACCUGGUCUUCUCAUGACUUGCGACCACGUCCAGAUGACAAACUGGCUGCUGUAAAGGCUUUUGCAUCAAUGGGACUGUGCCCUUCAGGCUGUCACCUCAGCCUUCCUCAUCCCUACUGUACCAGUCCAGCCGUGUCAUCGGCAGCCACCAGCUUCACUCUUUGUUUCCAAAGGAUACAGAGCUUGUAUCCACCCAAGGUGCUAUCAAAUGCAGGGUUUCUUCCAAAAAACCUAGCCCCUUCAUCCUUUUCUGAGCUGUGAACAAGAUGACAGGGAAGGGGAAGGAAGCCGGGGCUGCAAGGAGCAGCUUGCAUAUUAGGAAAAGCCUGACCUGUGACGCAUAGCUGUUGGCAGAUGGAGUUGUCUCAAAUCUACCUCAGAGGCCAUCUGUUGCUGCAGACCACUUUCCCCUCUUGCUCCUGCCCACUGCCACCUGUACGUGGUGGCAAGAGAUUGAUGGGAACCCCAGAUCCCGCCAGCUCAGUCCCCUGCUGCCUCUUUGCUGGGGAGCAGCAUCUCCUGUCCAGGGCUUUGUGGGUCAGUGCCAGCUCGCCGAGCUUCUUCGGGGUGCCAUGCACCCAUCUAGAUUUGGUAGGCGUGCAGUAGGUGGGCACCUCUCACCCCACAGCUCUCCUCCGGGGCAGUUUCUGUAGCUGGGCUUUGCUGUUGGUGCCUCUUGUGCAGCAAAGCCGGCUAUAGCUUUUGUUCUUUGCCAUGGCAGGAGCAGGCGAGUGGUGUUCUCCCUUGGCUGGGCGAGAAGAGGGGGCGCAGGGUUAUGGGGAGCUCGGGUACUCUUCGAUAUGCAAGCCAGGAUUGAGGUCCACCUUCCUUGCAGGUGAGGGGAGCACGUGGUCCUUCGUGUCCCUCUUGCUCAGCCCUUUGGGCAGCUGAACUCUGGCUCUCUCAGUGCAAUUCUAGCUUGAGGCUGGCGCAGUCAUCCUUCGCAUCAUUUGUGUUUUGAGGAACGGGUGACAGUUGAUUUUUCUGCCCCUCUUUGAGUUGGGUCAGGUUUUUUUCCUCCUUCUAUAGGUGUCUUCUCUCCCUUCCUCCCCCUCUCCUUGUUGAGCCCCAGCUAACGCUGGGGAGAAAAUGUGCAGGGACACGAGGGACAGUUGGUCAAACUCUACUUGUUCCUCCAUCCCCACGACCUCUGAGUCCCAAACGAGAGAUGUCAGCAGGACUCCAGGAGAGGGAUUACCCCUUUUUCAGGGGAACUGAGGAAGGAGACUUUGGAGCAGAGUCCUUGGUGGUAUCUUCCAUUGCUCCUUGUCGCCCUUGCUGGGUCGAUAAUACACAUUUUGGCUCAGAGGAAGCGACAGUACCUGCAGUGCAACGUGAUGAGAAGCGAGGGGAAAAGAGCUUUAAGUUAGGGAGGACAUGGAAAAGGUCCAGUGUGAGAGGUUUUUUUGCCUUUCUGCUGCCUCUUCCCAUCCCCAGCCAUCCACUGCCACGUGCCCUCCGAGAGCGACUGCUGGCCGGCAUCUCUCCAGAGCCUCAGCCGGUCCGUUCUGCAAAGCUGGUGCCUGGCAGCAGCUGAGAUAUUGACUCUGUUAACAGGUGACACAUACAGUCCCCCAAAAAAACUGGCUGCUGAAUGAUUCCUCCUCCUGCCUGCUUCGCUUCAGGCAGUUUUUUCCACUUGCACAAUCCUUGCGUCUUCAUAAAGUAGCUAAUUAUGCUUUGUAUCCCAAGUGCCUUAUGUUGCCGUGUAGUCUCUCGUACGCUUGAUCCAUGUACUAUAUCAGUAGCUGAAUGCUCUCCCUCUUUACGACGUAUGUACAACGUAUGCUACAUUUAUGUGGUUUUUUUGUUUUCUUUGUGAUAGAGCUAUCAGUAAAAGGGACAGUUUGUUUUGGAAGCGUUUCCAUGUGUUCUUUUUUUUUUUUUAAUUUUUUAUUUUAACCUGUAGAUGGUGGGGCUUUUUUUGCCCUCUCCUGUCUUUAGUCCUCAGAAAUCCCCAUCCUUCUCCUGUUGUGCCCAAAUGUGGCAGGUUUUUUGGUUUUUAUUUUUUGAGCUGAGCCUUUGCUGCAAGGCAAUAUGCGCUGUCAUCCCAGAGGUCUGCAAUCCACCCUCCGUUGGAGGGGUUGCCACGGGCUGCUUCUGUCUGUCUUCUCGUCAUCCCUUGGCUGCUUCUACGUCCACGUCAUUUCUCAGCAGACCGAGACUUCUCUUCAGCCCAAAGAGCUUUUUCUUUCCCAAACGGAGUAUUUUCAUAGCAAGCCUUUAGUGGUCAGUCUUUCCUUGACCGCUCUGCGUACAAAGAUGCCGUAAGUCCACUUUCUUUGAGUGGAUGCUCUUCUAGUGCCCCAUCUUCUCAAGCCCUGUGUCUUCUGCCAAAAAGAUCAAACCCCAACCAGGAGCUCUUGUCCAGCACAGUGCAGCAAGUGUUAGACUGUGUAAGCCUUUACUUUCAGUGUAACGCUAUUGCUUGUACCCUUCCCAUGGGCUUGAGGCUGCUUUUGUAGUCUGUGUCCAUUAUCCAACCUGAGAAGGUCGGGGAUCAAGUAGUCUGUGAUUUUUGGUGUGAAACAUAGCGUUUUCCUGCCCUAGCCUAGAAGAGCUGUGGAAUACGAGCAGUAGUUCUCUCUUUUUGUCUUAGUUGGGGAAUGGGCUUGGGAAGAGAAAGGGGCAGAGGAAGAACAGAUGUAGCAUUUCACAUAUAAUUUUUGAGUGACUCUUGUGUUAUGGGGCAUUACAGUUGCGGUUGUUUGGUUGUUUGGGGUUUUUUUGUUUAGGAUUCUUUCUUUUUCCUCAUCGUGUUUGGGUUGGUAGUCAAGAAGACAAGUUCCAGUUGCCCUGUAGGUCUCCUCUACUUUUAAUUCACCAUUUGAAAAUGUAUUUUUGGUAGGCUUCCUGGUUGGAGGGAAGAACGACUACUCUAGGAUGCCUCCCCCUUGCCUCCAAGUGACUCUCGAAGCCUGUAGAUACCCUGCCUUUACUGCAGCGCAUGGGGGUUUACAGCAGCCUCUCCCUCUUGCCUUAGCUAAAGUCUUGCUAGAUGGACCCCGACUUGCGUCAACAGUAGAUGGAGAUUAUGGGGUUUGAUUUGCAGCCUCCUGGUCAACUUCAUGAGUGUGUAAUAGAUGGUUUGGCGGGUUUUGUACUCAAACUGUGAAGUAUGUUACUUCGCCUUGCGUCUGCGUGCGGGGUUUUGCUGGCAGCGGGGAAGAAUGGUUGUUGUCGAAGCCAGGCGGAGGCACGUCAUUUUUCUUUGAAUACGUUGAACUCGAUGGACCAAACUUCGGCAAAGGAACUCGAGGAAAAUUUCUGUUCUUCCAUAUUUAUACUUUAGUGCAAAUUUCCUAAUUUUGGAGGGGGUGGGGGGAAGUAACAGUCUCUGAUAUGUUAUCCCGUUCAUUUCAUUCUUCCUGUCACUUCAAGUUUUGUAUGGAUUUUGUUUGUUUGUUGUUUGUUGUUAAAUGACUUUUGUGAUAAACUCAACAAAAGUAUUUUUCUGAAAUAAAUGAAUAAAAGGCCUAG